rnacentral:rRNA from 1 species
GAUGAACGCUAGCGGCAGGCUUAAUACAUGCAAGUCGAGGGACAGCACAGGUAGCAAUACUGGGUGGUAACCGGCAAACGGGUGCGGAACACGUACACAACCUUCCUUUAAGUGGGGGAUAGCCCAGAGAAAUUUGGAUUAAUACCCCGUAAUAUAGUUGAAUGGCAUCAUUUGCUUAUUAUAGCUACGGCGCUUAAUGAUGGGUGGUCGGCUGAUUAGAUAGUUGGCGGUGUAACGGCCCACCAAGUCUACGAUCAGUAGCUGAUGUGAUAGCAUGAUCAGCCACACGGGCACUGAGACACGGGCCCGACUCCUACGGGAGGCAGCAGUAAGGAAUAUUGGUCAAUGGACGCAAGUCUGAACCAGCCAUGCCGCGUGAAGGAUUAAGGUCCUCUGGAUUGUAAACUUCUUUUAUUUGGGACGAAAAAGGGCCUUUCUAGGUCAACUGACGGUACCAGAUGAAUAAGCACCGGCUAACUCCGUGCCAGCCGCCGCAGUAAAAC